rnacentral:tRNA from 1 species
CAGAAUGUAGUUUAAAAUUAAAAUAUUAGUUUUGGAGACUAAUGAUAUUAUUAAAAUUUUUAUUCUGA